rnacentral:rRNA from 1 species
GGGAACUACGAGCCAAGCUUAAAACCCAAAGGACUUGACGGUACCCCAUAUCCCCCUAGAGGAGCCUGUCCUAUAAUUGAUAAUCCCCGUUUAACCUCACCACUUCUAGCAAUUCAGCCUGUAUACCUCCGUCGUCAGCUUACCACGUGAGCGUUAGUGAGCUCAAUGUUAUUUCAACCAAACGUCAGGUCAAGGUGCAACAUAUGAAGCGGAAAGAGAUGGGCUACACUUUCUACCAUAGACCACACGAAAGACUAACUAUGAAACCUAGUCAGAAG